CUCCUGCAGCUGGGUUACUCGAGAAUGGUGAUAGCCUGUCCUUGUAUGAAUGAGGUGUCUGCACCUAGAUGUGAGCUGAAGAGUCCCUGAAGUCCCCCUGGAGAGCUCCUCCUUGUCUCCUGCCCUUAGCUUGCAGAUAUACUGGCAUGGAAAAGGACUUGCAAAACAUCUGGUAGCCUCUAAAAAGCAGCUAAAAUCGAGAGGUCUUUUCCUAUUUUCCUCCUGCAGAGGUGUUUGCUGGCUGAUG
rnacentral:lncRNA from 1 species